AAAAAGCUGGCUCUUCACUGANCAUGUGCUCGUUUCCAUCUAUUUAUCUUCUCUUGUGCACCNUUUGUAGUCUUUGAAAAAGUGAACCUCUCGCAGCGAUGCGGUUUGGGGGACUUGGGCGCGAGCCCUUCCCCUGCUUGCUUUCUUCAAGGCUAUGUUUUYAUAUACACUAUAAAGUUACAGAAUGUCUAUUAAAGAUUGUGCUAGUCGCAGUCAUUAAACCUAUACAACUUUCAGCAACGGAUCUCUUGGCUCUCCCAUCGAUGAAGAACGCAGCGAAAUGCGAUAAGUAAUGUGAAUUGCAGAAUUCAGUGAAUCAUCGAAUCUUUGAACGCACCUUGCGCCCUUUGGUAUUCCGAAGGGCAUGCCUGUUUGAGUGUCAUUAAAUCAUCAACCCAAAAGCUUUGUCACCGAAGCGUUUGCGGCUUGGACGUGGGGGUUUGCUGGCUUCCUUCAGUGGAUGGUCUGCUCCCCUUAAAUGCAUUAGCGGGAUCUCUUGUGGACCGUCACUUGGUGUGAUAAUUAUCUAUACCACGUUGGCCUUGAAGCAAAACUUAUGGGAACCCGCUCAUAACCGUCUUCGGACAANUCUUGACAUUUUGACCUCAAAUCAGGUAGGACUACCCGCUGAACUUAAGCAUAUCA
rnacentral:rRNA from 1 species